rnacentral:rRNA from 1 species
UACGGGGGGAGCAAGCGUUGUUCGGAUUUACUGGGCGUAAAGGGCGCGUAGGCGGUCAGCACAAGUCAGUUGUGAAAUCUCCGGGCUUAACUCGGAAAGGUCAACUGAUACUGUGCGACUAGAGUGCAGAAGGGGCAACUGGAAUUCCCGGUGUAGCGGUGAAAUGCGUAGAGAUCGGGAAGAACACCAGUGGCGAAAGCGCUCUGCUGGACUGCAACUGACACUGAGGGACGAAAGCUAGGGGAGCGAAAGGG